CAGUAGCCACGGUAAAACGAAGGGUGCAAGCGUUACUCGGAAUUACUGGGCGUAAAGCGCACGCAGGCGGUUUCUUAAGUCUGAUGUGAAAGCCCCCGGCUCAACCGGGGAGGGUCAUUGGAAACUGGGAAACUUGAGUGCAGAAGAGGAGAGUGGAAUUCCACGUGUAGCGGUGAAAUGCGCAGAGAUGUGGAGGAACACCAGUGGCGAAGGCGACUCUCUGGUCUGUAACUGACGCUGAGGAGCGAAAGCGUGGGGAGCGAACAGGAUUAGAUACCCGAGUAGUCCCUGUCUCUUAUAC
rnacentral:rRNA from 1 species